CCGAGUUUACAACUCCCAAACCCCUGUGAACAUACCUAUAUGUUGCCUCGGCGGAUCAGCCCGCGCCCCGUAAAACGGGACGGCCCGCCGCAGGAUCCACGAACUCUGUUUUUAUUGUAACUUCUGAGUAACAAAACAAAUAAAUCA
rnacentral:misc_RNA from 1 species